rnacentral:lncRNA from 1 species
CCGGGGCCCGGGAACAAAGCGCGCCCUCCCCCAUCUCGGGAGCGCGCUGUGGGACCUUCAGGCGCCCCGGGCUGGGAGGCUUAAGACCACCGCGAAUCUGCUGGCCCCCAACCUCUGUGGACCGGACCCCUGGGGUCGGGGUGACAGCUGCGCGCUACUGAGCCACCUUCCCGGCCCCCCGAAGAUCACUCCCGCUCUCCCCAUCCCUACCCCCAUCGCGGAGGUGUCACUGGGGCCGGAGCACGGCCAGAUGGCCCCAUUUAACAGGACUGUCCCCUUUUGUUGGGGGCUGAAGCAGCGUCCAGGCCGAUUUACAUAGGAAAAUGGGGUUUGUGUCCCCGAUUCAGUGCAGUGCCCCGACAGCUGGUGGCUCUGUCAUCAUGUCAGGACCCCACAGCAUGAUGUUUAAAGUGGCUUUAUGUGUGCAGAUGUGUGAGUGUGAAUAGCAAUUGAUUGCGAAGCGGUGGCUGUUAGGUCCAGCCUGGAGAAACUCGGUUCACGGAGGAAAUUCGAUCAGCCUGGCCACAGCAUACGAUCAUAGACUGGAAAAGUCUCGCCAAAGACUUCUAAUGCUCUCUUCCGGAACUGACAGCUUAUCAUUUUAUCCAGAAAUCUAAAAAGCCAAAUCGUUUGGAUCUAAGGAGCAUUUUGAAAUCCUUACUCUUUACACUUUUGGUCUUUGUUUGUAAAAGUUGUGAGUCUGAACGUAAAAAGUCAUAAGGAGGACUGUUAGGAGUUAAAAAACAAUUAUUGGUGAGAGAUCUAAGCUAAUUCAUUUUAUUAAACUACCUUAACUCAGAUGGUUUGUGUGGCUGCUCCAGCCUGUAGCAGGCUGAGAGUUGUCAUUAGUUUGGAAAUCGGUAGUUUAAACGUGUGCAGUUAGGUGACAGAUGAUUAGAACAGGGAGGAAGUCCUGUUCUCAUUUUACCAGCGAGGGUUGAAUCUCAGAGAGGUUACGUGAUUUUCCCAAGAUCAUACAACUCUGGAAUAUGAUCUCAACCGUUCGAAUCCAUAAAAGAUGAAGGAAAGAGAAGCCUUAAGACGGUAGAUUUAGGAGCCCUUGAAAAUACCUUAAUCCAGAACCUCUCAAACCUUUCCGCCAGUCUGCUGGAGCCACCAACAGCAUACAGUAAUCGUACUUUCCUGUUGCCUUGAGUUCGGGCAAGCCCGUGGGACUUUCUUUGGCGGCCGAGGAGAUGCGUUUAGAGGUGAUUUGUGUCACAUCAAGCAGCCACCUGGCCACGGAAGCCAUGGGAGCAUGUCAAGAGGGAGCCUCCGUCAACUUGGUUUCGUAGGUGACUUGGAUGAGCAGAGACACCCUGGUGACCUGCGCUGAACACAUGGGAGGCACAAGAAAUGAACUUUUGCUGUGCUACGCCACUGACAGUUUUGUUACAGUUGCACAGCUUGGCCUAUCCUGACUGAUAGAGUUGAUAUUCUAGAGCCAUUGUUUUUUUAACUGAAGGAGGAGAGGUUUUGUUUCUUUUGCUUCUUUUGCGGAAGGAAGUGGAAGGGAUGGAAAGGACAAAGACAAUGGAAGGAGGUGGCAUGUAUCUCCAUGCAGGCUCUUGGUCUCGUUGGAAGCCCCAGUGGAGAAAGAAGUUGAGUUGGAAGCCGAAGGAACUCUUUUCAUGGGUAAACUUCAGAGAGCCUUGCCGCAGCAGCUUGAAAUUUCCUGGUGACACCUGCCGUUGAGACCCCGGCUUCGAGAAUCCAUUAAUUCUUCUCCAUCUGCUUGGAUCGAUAGCUUAGGCAACCCUGGGCAUCAUGGUUUUGUGCACCCCAGAGCCACCUUCCUCCUGAAACAUCGUGUAAAAAUCUGGGACAAUGCUAACAGAGCAAACAGCAUUUAUUCUCUUUAUAGUCAAUGGCAAAUGGUUAUAUUUGUUAAUAGUGUUAUAUUUCUUUCAAAUAUUAUACCUUAAAAUUUAUAAAGGUCUUUCCAAUAAAUUAACGCAAUUUCUCACCCCA